UGAUAUUGAAAAUAGAGUAUAAACUUAAGAUAACAUCCGGAUCUAUCGAUAGUUUUUUAUCUCCGCAAUGUACGGACAAAACAAUCUUGUAUACAAUUGUAGAGGAAGUAAUAUUGCGGGAUUCAUUUAUAAAAAAUGGCCAAUCGAACUGUUAAAGAAGCAAAAAAUAUUCAUGGAACCAAUCCUCAAUAUCUGGUUGAAAAAAUUAUACGCUCUCGCAUUUACGACUCGAAAUAUUGGAAGGAGCAAUGUUUUGCACUCACUGCUGAGCUGUUGGUAGACAAAGCAAUGGAGCUGCGAUUCAUUGGCGGUGUUUACGGCGGAAAUAUAAAACCUACACAAUUCCUUUGCCUUACGCUUAAAAUGCUACAAAUACAGCCCGAAAAGGAUAUCGUUGUGGAAUUUAUCAAAAAUGAAGAGUUCAAAUAUGUAAGGGCCCUGGGUGCUUUUUAUUUGCGUCUUACAGGAAGCGCAUUGGAUUGUUAUAAAUAUUUGGAACCUCUAUAUAAUGAUAAUCGUAAACUUCGACGCCAAAAUAGGGCCGGGCAAUAUGAAAUUGUUCACAUGGACGAUUUCAUAGACGAGUUGCUCCGUAGUGACCGAGUUUGUGAUAUAAUUCUCCCUCGUAUACAAAAACGCGCUGUACUUGAGGAAAAUAACGAGCUUGAACCAAAAGUAUCAGCGCUAGACGAGGAUUUGGAUGACGAUGUGGUCAGUGAUGAAGACGGUGGCGGGGAAAGGGAUGAUGACAAAAACAAAUCGUCUUUCUUACCUAAGAGGAGAAUACGCAAGGAUCAUUCGCGUUCACGUUCACGUAGUGCUUCAGCAUCUCGCGAUGCAAGAGGCGGAAGAUCUCGCGAUUAUGAUACUGACUUAGAAGACUAUGGUCGUCCACGUGAUCGUGAAAGGGAUAGAUUUGGUGUUAGUUCGACAUCAAGCAGUAGUCGCCAUUGGGAAGAUCGCGGCGGUGGUGGCAGCUCUAGUUAUCGCAGUGGACGCGAUGAUUAUAGAGACGAAUAUAGAAGAGAAGACUAUAAAGAUAGACGUUAUGACCGUGACUCACGAAAUGAACGGGAUAGAAGGCGUCACUAAUCACCAAACAAAUGUUACAAAAUCAGAAAAAAAAAGUUUAACGCUAGCGGAUGUAUGGAUAUGUGGCGAAUAAAAUCAAGACAAUACUGCACAUCAAAAAAUUGGAAAAUUCUGCUUACCCAUAGAAUUCGGAACAAUUAGUCAACGCACAAAAAUGUACAUACAAAAAAUUUAUUUUAAAGAAAAGUUAAAAGUAGAUGGAUUAACGCGUGUUUUCUGAAAAAAAAAUUUAAAUCAACUUACUUUGCCUGCGACUGGACUUGCAAUUUUAAAAAUAAUUGACAACCUUAUAUGACCAGAUUUAGAUAAUUUAAAUAUUAUAAAAGUUGAAGUUGCAUCAUCUCAAUACAUACAUUUGCACAUAGUAUGUAUCAUCUGACUUCGGAAAUUAAUGAUAUCAACAUCUCUACGUGAUUAUCGAGAAACAAGCAGGUAAACACUUCUGAUGUUUCCGAAUUUAGUAUGUAGUGAUAGUAGAGUAGUAUGUAAAUUUCGCCCACUUUCCUUAAAAGCUUAUUAAGUAAAAAUUCGUCGUUUGUCCAAUCAUAUGGGCAAGGGAAACUAAAACUUUUCGGACACAUUAUUCGAGAUUUUGGUAAUGGGCAUUGACUGACAUUGUUUCAGUCAAAAGUAAAAGUUAAAACUUCACUUUUGUUUUGUCGGUCAAAUAUAAAAGUUAAAGUUUUACUUUUAUUUUUUCGGUCAAAAAUAAAAGCUAAAAAUUUACUUUAUUUAUUCGGCCAAAUACAUAUAAAAGUUACAAGUGGACUUUUAUUUUCUUCGGUCAAUUAUAAAAGCUAAGUUAAGUUUUUUCGGUCAAAAUAGCAGUUUCCUUCAAUUGACUGGUUCAGGUUUCUUUUAAAGGACUUAAAUUUCAAGGAUAUAUUAAUUAAAAAUAUUCAGUACAAUUUAUUCGUGGAAUAACCACCAUAUGGGUGCUAAAUGAGAAAGAAAUUUUUGUAGAAUUAACAAUAUUUUUUUUGUUCACUAGGACGUACAUGACCAAAUGAGGAGUUUUUAAAUUUUGCGAGAAAAACGUAUUUUUGGUAGAAAAUAGUUGUACACAUAUCUUGGAAAGUGCAUUAUCUUCAGGUUUGUAUAAAUAACAAGAUUCCGCUGCGAAGUUGUAUUUAAAUGAAAACUUAAAAAAUAUAAAAACUACACAAA
rnacentral:misc_RNA from 1 species